GAGUAGGACCGCUCCAAACUUAAGCACCUAGUGCAUCCAACCCCGCGUUGAACAACUAUCGAAAAUCUGCUUUUGCUUUUUUUCUUUACGCUAAAACGUCUUUCCCGGUUGGAAUUAUUGCUCGAAAUAAUAAUUUCUUUACCCUGCAGUCGUUUGUUUUCAAGCUACAAUAUCUGCUCGAAAAUUGUUCAAAGCUCUGAGGGGGUCUGAAUGAAUUCAUAAAAUUGGCAAAAGCCACCUAUAAACUACGGUUCUUAGGGGGUGAUCAAACCAAGGUUUUAAAAACCAAAUACGUUAAAACUUUCAACAACGGAUCUCUUGGUUCUGGCAUCGAUGAAGAACGCAGCGAAAUGCGAUAAGUAAUGUGAAUUGCAGAAUUCAGUGAAUCAUCGAAUCUUUGAACGCACAUUGCGCCCAUUAGUAUUCUAGUGGGCAUGCCUAUUCGAGCGUCAUUACAACCCUUAAGCCUUGUAGCUUAGCGUUGGGAAUCUACCCCUCACUGAGGGGUAGUUCCUUAAAUUUAGUGGCGGGGUUAUAGCACACUCUAAGCGUAGUAGUUUAACUCGCUUUCAGGGAGGCUGUAGCUGCUUGCCGUAAAACCCCCUAUAACUUAUAGUGGUUGACCUCGGAUUAGGUAGGAAUACCCGCUGAACUUAAGCAUAUCAUA
rnacentral:rRNA from 1 species